rnacentral:lncRNA from 1 species
GGAGAAAUUGAAACUAGAUUAACAGAAAAUUAACUUGGUCAGGCCUCUUAUUUAUUUGUUCCAGCCAAGUGAAACAUGAAAAGUAAACAAAUUAUAUCCUAUUCUAAAAUUCUAUGAUUCUAUGAUAUGAAUAGUGGAAAAGAGGCUGGACUUUUCAAAUACUUCCAGCAAUAAUUUUGCAAUUUCUAGUUAUAAGCAUUUGGAACAUAUUACAUUCAAAUUUCUGUACUGAAUCAUUCCCACAUUAAUACCAAUUUAAUUUUCGUUAUUCAAAAAGAAGCGUAGAAGUUUACAGAGAAUUACAGAGAAAAUUUUGGGUCACAUAUAAUUUACCUGAUGUAAAUAUCACCUAAAAUGCAUUUUUUCCCCUAACCUAUUAUUAUGGAACUUAUGAGUAUCAUACAUAUGCCCACUUGCUUCCUAAAAGGAUUUGAGGUGGAAUUCAAUAGAUAUCCAGUUACACAGGAGAAAUAUAAGAAAUAACAAAGGAUGUAGACAGAGUGAUUCUUGUAUAUUUUGAGCCUAAGAUGAGGUUUUGCUAUACUUAAACACGAAAUUUAGCUCUAAAAUUUCUGAUAUUAAGUCAAAAGAAGAAAUGUACUGGCCUUUAUUAAAUCUGCCAUGAUGUAAAAGGAAAAAUACCAGCUCAUUGAGGGUCACUAUUUUAGUUUUUGUACUAAAAUCCAGGAAAAAUUUAUCCUAUGAGUCUUUAUGAAAUAAUAGCUAACAUAGAUUGAAUGUCUAUUAUAUGCCAAGCAUUAUCCUAAACUCGUUAUAUGUAUUAAUAAUUUAAUCAUCACAACAGCACUGCAAGGUAGAUUAUUAUCCCUGCUUUCCAGGUGAGAAAAGCAAAGUUACAGAGAGAUAAGUCACCCAUGGUAACAGUUGAGAAAAAGCAGCCCCAACCUGGACCCUCAAAGCUCCUGCCCCUGACUGCCACACUGCAGAAAAUCUUCAUCGAUGGUUCCACAGAUGACUCUGAAGGUCUCCAUUUCGUAAAUCAACACUCAGUAGAAGCCAGGGGCAUAAUAUUGAACUUAAUGAAAGCAUUUGCACCAUUAAAACUUAGCUAAUGGAACUAUUGGAACUUUGCCGAAGACACACAAAUUAUUCAUUACUCAGUGUACUAUAGGAGUAGAGAACAGCAAACCUACAGGAAUAAGGAUAAUGAUUAUAACUCACAUGUACUAAGUGCUUACUACUGAGCAGGCACUGUGCCAAGUGGCUUAACUGUGUUAUAUAAUGUAAUCCUUGAUCAAUCUUAUAAAAGGAGGUUAACUAUUUACCUAUUCACUCAAAACUGUUGAUCAUAUACCUUCUAUGUGAUGGAUACCCUAAACAAUGAGUCACGAUGGUAAACCAAAGAGUAUAGAGGUAGCUAACACGAAUUAAAUCAUGAAAAAUAUACACAUAAGCACAAAGAGAAAUGUGGUGAAGAAAAGAUCACACAUUGUGACAUCAUUUACAAGGAGAUUGGUCAUAGUCUGGGAGGGCUUCAUCAUGGAAGUGGCAUUUGAAAUGAUAAGCAACUGCCCAACAUCAAGAACAAUUAAGGGAGAGAGCCGGGAUUCAAAAAUCCAGACAUCUGUCCCAUGUGAGAUCAUGCUUUUAGCCCUUGUAGGGGUUAUGCUUCUACCCCUGGAAGGUGUUUCUCUUAGGCAUUCUUUGAGAGCUAAAACAGCAGUCAGCUCAAAACGGAGUCCUUCAAGGGUAUCUAGCAUGCAAACUGUAGGUGUCCUAGAGGUAUUUGAAAAAGACCUCUCUCCAUUUGAAGUUGCUUUGUUUUUUCAUUUAAUUUUCACAAAUUCAAUGAUACACAUUGGCACUAAAAUAAAGAAACAAAUGUACAUUUAAGCCUAUGAACAACUAUAUCCUGCAUUCCCCACUGAGAACAUGUCCUGGAAGGCAGGUGGAACAGGUGACAGGAGCCAACUCUCUCUGUCACCUCUACUCUGUGAACCUCUCCAGUGAGUGAGAGCCUCUCAUGGUGAGAGCCGGGCUCUGGGGUUUCUGCACACUUUUCCUAAUCAUAAGCCACAUUUCCUAAACAUGUAUGGUCCUUCCCAUCUCCAUGGCCAAGUGCAGACCUUCCUGCCCUCAGUCUGUCCCUCUCCUACCCUUCAGCCAAGCAGAUUCCUUGAGGCUCUACUCCAAAGCUCACUUCUCAGCACUGUCCCCACUGCAUCCACCUCAGGCUGCACAGAGUUGCUGGGCUAUAUAUCAGUUCCCCGGCCAGAUCUUGAGUUCCUCGAAGGCAUCAUCAAGGCUUUAGUUUCAGAUGUGUAUCUUCCUAAUGUCCAGCAGAUAGUAAGUCUUCAGUAUAUUUCUGUGAAUUGCUGAAUGAAAAUUUAGUUAAGCUGAUAAACUGUUUCUCCAGGGGACUCGUCCUCACACAGACCAGUGAGAUAGUAUUUGACUGCAGUAGGCAUGUUGACAUUGAGCUUUCUGUUCCCAUUCAGAAAAGAUUUCAAUGUUUAAAGGAAUUGUCCGUUUAUUAACGAGGCUCUGGGUCAGAAGGCUCACCAGUCAAACCCCAGGCUCUGAUCAGAUCCUGAGAGACCACAUGUACCAAAGUAUUCCCCACAUAGUGGGCUGGGCAGACUCUAGACUCCAUCCCCACCCCACCCCAGGUGGCAGUAUGUGAGGGGCAAGCAUUAGAAAUGACAAAGAAAUGCCUAGGAGCCAGGGGUGGAGAUUUUGGAGUUUGUGACAAGAAUGGACACUUUGUGAUGAAUUUCAUCCUUAGGAGAUCCCCAUCCUAAUCCUCCAGAAGCUGAGGUUUAAAGAAACACACCAAAGGUCAAGCUAUCCGGUCUCAAAGACAGAGAGAGAGAGAGCUGGGACAUAACCUUACUGAGCAUCUUAAUUCCCCUCACACUUGGCCGAGGGGAGGGUGCCAUCCUCCCCCAGCUACUAGAAGCUGAGAUGGUGAGGGAGUGGAUCCUCAAGGUGGAGAAAGUGUGGCAGAAAAUCAAGGCUGGGAAUCUUGUUUGUCUUUUAUUUACCCCCAAACUCUGAUGCUGCUGAGUUAGAAUCCAAGAACUUGACUAGUCCUCAAGCCCCAAAAUCCUUUGUAAUUUACCCUAAUUCAGAGAUACUCUCAAUCUAGCCUGGCUAGGGUAAGGAAUGCAUAACAGAAGGGGAGGGAAACCAGAAGGGGGGCUGGCACAGAGAGCUUCCUGUACAAGGUCCAGGAAGGAAGACGCAACCAAAGACCUGCAGACUAGAUCUGUCCCUCCCACAUGGUAUGUUGACCAAUAAAAUAUUGGCUUGCAAGUUUAAAAAAAAAAAAAGUUGCCAACACUGGAACUAAAGAAACAUUUUGUAAGCUUCUCCUUAAAAAAUUGAAAAUAAAACACCCCUAAAUCCCAUCCUCACAGGCAGUCAAGGGCUGGAGUUUAGUAGCUUAUGCUCCCUCUGGAUGAUCUAUGUCUCUGGACACAGAGGUAUGCUCUCCCCACUCCAUACCGUCUCUUCCACCAGGUCCCCUUGACUUCUGAAUGUCACUUCCCAGAUUCCUGGAGGCAUAUGAGAUUGCAUUUCCCAUGGCUAGGGAGCAGUGAGGCAAGGCUUCGGGCAGUGAGUCAGAGCAAGCUCUAGUGCUACUAAAGAAAUACAUUAAUUAGUGUUGGGUUUUGUCUUUAUCCCCUAUGUGGGAGAGCACUUGUGGAAUUGAUUUGCAGGUGCUACACAUAAAUCUAAGGGCAAAAUGAAGCCAAGAAAACAGAAUUCCUUUCAGGGAUUGCUGUCCUAAAUGAGACAAGAAGAAAUUAUUAAAUGUGCCAGGGGGAGAGGUAAGAGGAAGAGAGGAAGAAAGCAGGAUGAGAGCUGGUAGGUAGGUGGAGGAAGCCCGUUCCCUAGGAUAUGAGUCCUCUCAGUGACCCAGCACAUCUGCCAAGACCCCACCCACUACCAGAAAGGCAUGAGUAAAAGAGACAGAAAGGGAGUGAGGAAAGGAGGAAGGAAGAGAGCAGGGGGGCAAGAAGGUGAGCUAGCUAGAUACGGGUUUCUUCCUGAAACUGGUGCAGUCACUGUAUUCUAAAUUAAGGGUUUCACUAAACCCAGCAGGAGCAGCAUCAACACUAGAGGGGUCCAGAGAUAGAAAGACCCCCAAAAGACAGCUGUGGGGGUUUGCAGAAAUUACAGUAAGAGUUCUGGACUCUGAAGACCUGGGAGGUAGUGUUUCAAGCCAAGUUAAGCAGGUUUCAAAGAUACGGAGCAUCCAUCCCAACUGACAUACAGGUCACACUAACCAAUGUAUCACCCCAAAGGAAGACUAUCUACUCCCCUCUCAGCCUCAAGGUGGGUCACAAGGUGGGCUGCAGGGAUGACAAAAUCAGUAGGCAAUUAUUAAACAUUAAAACACAGUCUCUAAACAACUAGUUCCCAACAUUAUAUGAAAAAAAAUUAGUAAUAUUAGAAACCUUUAAGGUAUAAUCCCCCCACUGACACACACAUGUGCAUGCACAUACACACAUGCAUACACACACACAUUCCUUCUCUAAAAACAACAUGUUGGUACCAACAUGUGUUGGUACCAACAACCACAUGUAUCUUGAUAUUGUGACAAACUUAUCCACAUAUAUUCUAGAAGGAUUAUAAUGACUGUGGGGAAAUAAAAAAAAAAGGAAAAGAAAAAGAAAAA